rnacentral:rRNA from 1 species
AAGUCGAGCGGACAGAAGGGAGCUUGCUCCCGGAUGUUAGCGGCGGACGGGUGAGUAACACGUGGGUAACCUGCCUGUAAGACUGGGAUAACUCCGGGAAACCGGAGCUAAUACCGGAUAGUUCCUUGAACCGCAUGGUUCAAGGAUGAAAGACGGUUUCGGCUGUCACUUACAGAUGGACCCGCGGCGCAUUAGCUAGUUGGUGAGGUAACGGCUCACCAAGGCGACGAUGCGUAGCCGACCUGAGAGGGUGAUCGGCCACACUGGGACUGAGACACGGCCCAGACUCCUACGGGAGGCAGCAGUAGGGAAUCUUCCGCAAUGGACGAAAGUCUGACGGAGCAACGCCGCGUGAGUGAUGAAGGUUUUCGGAUCGUAAAGCUCUGUUGUUAGGGAAGAACAAGUGCAAGAGUAACUGCUUGCACCUUGACGGUACCUAACCAGAAAGCCACGGCUAACUACGUGCCAGCAGCCGCGGUAAUACGUAGGUGGCAAGCGUUGUCCGGAAUUAUUGGGCGUAAAGGGCUCGCAGGCGGUUUCUUAAGUCUGAUGUGAAAGCCCCCGGCUCAACCGGGGAGGGUCAUUGGAAACUGGGAAACUUGAGUGCAGAAGAGGAGAGUGGAAUUCCACGUGUAGCGGUGAAAUGCGUAGAGAUGUGGAGGAACACCAGUGGCGAAGGCGACUCUCUGGUCUGUAACUGACGCUGAGGAGCGAAAGCGUGGGGAGCGAACAGGAUUAGAUACCCUGGUAGUCCACGCCGUAAACGAUGAGUGCUAAGUGUUAGGGGGUUUCCGCCCCUUAGUGCUGCAGCUAACGCAUUAAGCACUCCGC